UACGAAGGGGGCUAGCGUUGCUCGGAAUCACUGGGCGUAAAGCGCACGUAGGCGGCUUGUUAAGUCAGGGGUGAAAUCCUGGAGCUCAACUCCAGAACUGCCCUUGAUACUGGCGAGCUUGAGUCCGGGAGAGGUGAGUGGAACUGCGAGUGUAGAGGUGAAAUCGUAGAUAUUCGCAAGAACACCAGUGGCGAAGGCGGCUCACGUG
rnacentral:rRNA from 1 species